rnacentral:tRNA from 1 species
ACCUCGGUAGCUCAGCCAGGUAGAGCGGCGGGCUGUUAACUCGUAGGUUCCGAGUUCGAAUCCCGCGGAC